GGUCCAGUAGUGUAGAGGUUAUCACCCGGGAUUCUGAUCACAAAAUCAUCUUCCCGUAACCCAGGUUCGAGUCCUGGUUGGACCU
rnacentral:tRNA from 1 species